rnacentral:rRNA from 1 species
UACAGAGGUCUCAAGCGUUUGUUCGGAUUCAUUGGGCGUAAAGGGUGCGUAGGUGGCGAGGUUAGUCAGGUGUGAAAUCUCGGGGCUCAACCCCGAAACUGCACUUGAUACUGCCUUGCUAGAGUACUGGAGAGGAGAUUGGAAUUUACGGUGUAGCAGUGAAAUGCGUAGAUAUCGUAAGGAAGACCAGUGGCGAAGGCGAAUCUCUGGACAGUUACUGACACUGAGGCACGAAGGCCAGGGGAGCAAACGGG